rnacentral:rRNA from 1 species
GAGAGUGGGUAGUCCGCACGAGCGCACCUCACUUUAUUUGCCAUCAUUAAGUUGGGCACUCUGAAAGAACUGCCAGUGAUAAGCUGGAGGAAGGUGGGGAUGACGUCAAGUCCUCAUGGCCCUUACGUGUUGGGCUACACACGUGCUACAAUGGCAUCUACAACAGGAAGCAAAACGGCAACGUUAAGCAAAUCCCGAAAAGAUGCCUCAGUUCGGAUUGCACUCUGCAACUCGAGUGCAUGAAGCUGGAAUUACUAGUAAUCGUGGAUCAGCGUGCCACGGUGAAUGCGUUCCCGGGUCUUGUACACACCGCCCGUCACACCAUGGGAGUUGGUUCUACCUUAAGGCAAGGUUUUAAACCCUUGACCACGGUAUAGUCAGCGACUGGGGUGAAGUCGUAACAAGGUAGCCGUAGGGGAACCUGCGGCUGGAUUACCUCCUUUCU